rnacentral:lncRNA from 1 species
AAACGGUAGUCGACACAGAUUGUGUCUAACAUGGGAACAUUCAGUUCUUCAGACCUUAUACAGAAACGUCUUAAUUCGCAUUACACCAGUACUUAUAAACCAUGCACAGCGCACCAUUUCCACGAGUCCGGUAAUUCAACUGGUUUAUUGUCAUUAACAAUAUUAUUGUGUAGUUUUCUUUUUUCGAUUUCAAUAGAUUCCAAGAAGUUAAGAGCAUAUUGCAGGAUACCGGUUUGACGACUUUAGCCUGAUCCCAUUUAAUAACUACAUUCUGCUGGUAUGCCUUCCUGGCUAAGGCUGUAUUAGUUCUAGCAUUAUAUAUAUCAGCCUUGU